CUGUUGCAGAUUUUUGGACGGCUGUUCUCUGAAGACGGAACCAUCGGGCACACGCCAAAACCAAGUCUCUGUAGCAAAAGAGAUAAUGGUGACAUCGCAGCAGAGCCAGUACAUCAGGCAGCACCGAGACUGGUUUGUGAGUCGGGAAAAGCUGUAGAAACGUCAUCAGGGCCAGCGUGUGAGCCGGGCCGUGUCACCGAUAAAUCUGUUCAAGUGCGGCUACUAAUCCACCACGAAGCAUCACAAGCGGAUGAAAAGAAAAUUCUGUCAACAUGUGCUACACAAACAGAGCCUGAAUCUGUUUCUUCAGGUUCCUUGUCCGUUGCGUCCCCGGAGCAGUCUUCUUCUUUGGCGUCUGUUCGAGGUCGACUGCAUUCCUGCCAGCAGUGCACCUAUGUGACCCUGGACAAGUCGACGAUGAACAGACACCUUCAGAAACAUAUGGGCGAGCUCCCCUUUCAGUGCCACAUGUGCCCAGCUGCAUUCACUGCGGAGUCGAAGCUGGUGACUCACAUACGCACUCACACAGGAGAGCGCCCCUUUUCCUGUGUCCACUGCAGUGCAUGCUUUACGACGAAAUCCCACCUCGUGAGACACAUCCACACGCACACAGGAGAGCGCCCCUUUUCCUGUGUGCACUGCAGUGCAACCUUUGCGCAGAAAUACCACCUCGUGAGGCACAUCCGCAGGCACACGGGAGAGCGUCCCAUUACCUGUGCCCACUGCAAUGCAUCGUUUGUGAUGCAAGCCGACCUCGUGCCGCACAUGCGCAUUCACACAGCACAACCCCUAUUCUCCUGUGUCCACUGCAAUGCAUCCUUUACGCAGAAAAAGAACCUCUUGAAACACGUCCGCAAGCACACAGGAGAGCAAUGUUUUUCCUGUGUCCAAUGCAAUGCAUCGUUUGUGACUAAAUCCUACCUCGUUGAGCACAUGCGCUCUCACACAGGAGAGCGUCCCUUU
rnacentral:lncRNA from 1 species